UACGGAGGGGGCUAGCGUUGUUCGGAAUUACUGGGCGUAAAGCGCACGUAGGCGGCUUUGUAAGUUAGAGGUGAAAGCCCAGGGCUUAACCCUGGAAUUGCCUUUAAGACUGCAUCGCUAGAAUCGUGGAGAGGUGAGUGGAAUCCGAGUGUAGAGGUGAAAUUCGUAGAUAUUGGGAAGAACACCGGUGGCGAAGGCGGCUCACUGGCUCAUUUCUGACGCUCAGGCGCGACGGCGUGGGGAUCAAACAGG
rnacentral:rRNA from 1 species